AGAAAAUAGAUACCCUGGUAGUCCACGCUGUAAACGAUGAUUACUCGAUGUUGGCGAUACACAGUCAGCGUCUGAGCGAAAGCAAUAAGUAAUCCACCUGGGGAGUACGAUCGCAAGAUUGAAACUCAAAGGAAUUGACGGGGGCCCGGCACAAGCGGAGGAGCAUGUGGUUUAAUUCGAUGAUACGCGAGGAACCUUACCUGGGCUCGAACGUAAGAUGACUGUAGGUGAAAGCUUACAUCUCUUCGGAGCAUUUUACGAGGUGCUGCAUGGUUGUCGUCAGCUCGUGCCGUGAGGUGUCGGGUUAAGUCCCAUAACGAGCGCAACCCCUACCUUUAGUUGCCAACAGGUCAUGCUGGGGACUCUAAAGGAACUGCCUACGCAAGUAGUGAGGAAGGCGGGGAUGACGUCAAAUCAGCACGGCCCUUACGUCCAGGGCUACACACGUGCUACAAUGGCCGAUACAGAGGGCAGCUACCUGGUGACAGGAUGCAAAUCUCCAAAGUCGGUCUCAGUUCGGA
rnacentral:rRNA from 1 species